UACGUAGGGUGCGAGCGUUAAUCGGAAUUACUGGGCGUAAAGCGUGCGCAGGCGGUUUUGUAAGCCAGAUGUGAAAUCCCCGGGCUUAACCUGGGAAUGGCAUUUGGGACUGCAAGGCUUGAGUGCGGCAGAGGAGACUGGAAUUCCUGGUGUAGCAGUGAAAUGCGUAGAUAUCAGGAGGAACACCGGUGGCGAAGGCGGCUAUCUGGACAGUAACCGACGCUGAGGCGCGAAAGCUAGGGGAGCAAACGGG
rnacentral:rRNA from 1 species